rnacentral:rRNA from 1 species
ACGGGGCCCGCACAAGCAGCGGAGCGUGUUGGUUUAAUUCGAUGCAACACGAAGAACCUUACCAGGGCUUGACAUGUUGGAAGUAGUGAACCGAAAGGGAACGACCUGUUAAAUCAGGAGCCUUCACAGGUGCUGCAUGGCUGUCGUCAGCUCGUGCCGUGAGGUGUUGGGUUAAGUCCCCCAACGAGCGCAACCCUCGUUGCCAGUUAAUUUCUCUGGCGAGACUGCCCGCAAAACGGGGAGGAAGGUGGGGAUGACGUCAAGUCAGCAUGGCCUUUAUGCCCUGGGCGACACACACGCUACAAUGGGUGGUACAGUGGGUAGCAAUAGAGCGAUCUGGAGCUAAUCCUCAAAACCAUCCCCAGUUCGGAUUGCAGGCUGAAACUCGCCUACACGAAGUCGGAGUUGCUAGUAACCGCAGGUCAGCAUACUGCCGGUGAACUACGUUCUCGGGCCUU